GUCCGUUUUCCUUCGUCGUGCACGGGCUGUGGCCGCAAUACGAUCGCGGCUUUCCGAACUAUUGCCAGCGGCCCUCGCCGCGGCUGGAUCGCAACGUCAUGACCUCGAUGCUCGAUCUGAUGCCGGCGCCGNNNNNNNNGGGACAAGCACGGCACCUGUUCGGGGCUGGGCGCGCGCGCCUAUUUCGAGACCAUCCGCAA
rnacentral:misc_RNA from 1 species